rnacentral:lncRNA from 1 species
GUUUGAACUACACUAGAUGUAGAGAUUACUUAAAAAUUACAAAAAAAAAGUCCUAAAAAAUUUGAAAUAUACUGCUUUUGAGUUUCAUCUAUAUUAUAGUUAUCAAAAACUCAUUCUAUUUUUGUGCUUUAUGAUAUAUUUUAUAAAUAUACUACAAUUUGAAUGGUGGAUGCCUGAUUUUAUUUCUCUUCAUACGUUCAUUACCCCUUACCCUGCAAAAACAGAAACAAAAACAAAACACAAACACACACAAAAAAACAAAACCCCAAACCCAAACCCAAAAACAAACCAGAUUUGCUGAUUCAACUAUACAUAACUCACACUUUCAGCAUUAUGGAGCAGAAAAACAACACACUUUCAUUUUUUUUCUAUGUAGAAUAAUAAGCCAAAUUCUAGAAUGUUCUUGCUAUAUGACACUGAGCAUAUAGACAGAGAGGGUUGGAAGGUUUAAAAGACUCCAUAAAGAAGGGUAGAUGGGUGGAGACAUUUAGAUCAAACACAUAAAUCACUCUCAGAAGAAAAAAAGUCACAGAAGAAGAGACAAAAUACUGAACACAGAGCUGAAAUUUGGUAGUUUACUCCACUGUCCACAGGGAAGAAGAGCUUUCAAAAUUGUUCAAAGAACCUCAAAGAACUGAAAGUUUCUAUAAAGAAUAACCUUUGUUUCAAGAUACAAGUCUUUUACUGGGAUGCAUUUUUUAAUUAUGAGACUCAUAUAAUUGCAAAAAUGCAUAUCCUUGUUUGUGAAUAAGAGGUAAUGAGAGGGGUCUAUAUGUCUUACAGAUUGAAUCUACCAAAUACCCUAUUUUAAGCUAUUUUUCCAUUUAUAAACUUUAAAAGCACAGAAGAUGAUAAAGAAAAUGUGAGAACAGACAAUUAUAAGGAAUAAGAACCCAAAAUGCUCCUUAUUCGGGUCCCUCUGACUUCAACCAUGGAAUUGGAUACUAUUGUCUCAGCUGGUCUCUCCAAUGCCAUUUCUCUCUACUCCAGUUCUAGACAGCACAGUAGUGAUCAUAUCUUUAAAACUACUGUUUUUAUUUCAGGAUGUUCCCUGAUCAAAAUCCCUGUAUCAAUUUUCCAUCACCAAAGCCAGAGUCCUCCACAGUCCAGCCCUGUUGCAUCCCCUGCUUGUGCCCCACAAGGGUGCUCUCACAUGAAGGUUGUUUGUCAAAAGCUUACCAGUGUGGUCAUCCCUCCCUUGGUCCCUUUCCCCAGUGUGCAGUGCUUCCACUUCUCCCUCUGAACCCAUCAUGGCCAGUUUCAAUAUUUACUUCCUUCUUCGCUAAGCAAACGGCCCUGUAGAGAUCCUACUGCCUGGCUGACUCCUUUUCUGACCAGUCUUGUUUCCAGAGCUUUGUUCGACUACGUCCAAAAUUGAAAUAAAACUUAGGGGGCACAUACCA